GGAAGGUGUAUGGAGCGAGGAGGCAGUGGGAUUGGAGGGACAGAGAAUCUCGACGUGGAGAUGGCGCAGUCUUGCUCAUCUAAUGUUAGGGAAAGUGCCAGAGGACUGGAGGGUGCCUGAUGUGGUUCCAUCUUUCAAGAAGGGUGGUAGAGAUGAACCACAAAAUUACAGACUGGAGAGCCUCGCAUCAGUGGUAGGGAAACCAAUGGAGAAAAUUCCAAAGGAGCAAAUGAAUACCCACUUGGAAAGAUUGCACUGCUGAAAUUUUCACAACUGAAAGAUCAGCCACAGACCAAUAAAGGAAGAGAAACCUAAAAAAUUCCAACAACUUUUUCUGUUCAUUAAGUUGUCCAUUUCCAUCUCCGAGGUCACUCACCUCUGUACAUUUUAGCUCAUCUACUGUGAAAGACCUCACCUAUUCCAUCAUCACCUCCAGAUUCAAAUGUCCAAAUAUUCAUCUGGCAAACCUCCAAAAUGUAGUCAAUAAACUGGCUCAUCCAAAAUUGCACUUUUUGGAACAGAGUUCCACUCACCCACAGCUCUAUUGCUAUUACUUGUUGCAAUUUAAAAAUUCUCAUCAUCCUCCACAGUCUUGGCACCUCUCCCCCACCUAUAGACUUAGUUCUUAUAGGUACUGCAUCCAUGUUGUAUUCUUCAUACUCUGGCAUUGUGUAAGCCCCCUUCCUUUGUCCCUUCCAUGAAUUUGUCCCACCAUGACAACGCUUCAGACUGGAAAUACACAUGAAAAGCAGCAUGUUUGAAACAAACAAACAAAGUCAUUUAAGAUUGCAGACUCAUCAGAACAUUGGAGCCUUUAAAUAUAUUCCAACAGAUUUGAAAAAAUAUUGAGCAUUUAUUUAUAACUGUUUGGAAUAAUUCAGCAAACAAUGGCAAUAUAACGUGGAGUCUCUUUACAAACUGUUCAGAUGUAUGUUUUCUUUUGAGAUUGCAGAACAUAUAUAUUGUCAAUAAUUAUCAGGUUCCUAUGUUGAAAAAAGAGCUUGGACUGUCUUUGAGCAAUUCUACAGGGAGCUUCAUGUAAAUAAUGACAUGCCAAGAAAGGUGUUCAAAGAAAGCACAACUACAUAAUAUAUUUUGGUAUAAUGAGAAAUACUGUACUAUUAUUAGCAAAUAUAGAAACAUGAUAAACUGACAGCAUCUGUAUUUUGCAGGAGUUUAAAAGCCUACAGCACAUCUCAACUAUACUCAAAACUGGUAUACCUGCAUAAAAUCUUCUGGUUUAGAUUUUUUGAAAAAAGCUUAGUUUUAUUCAUCAGCAACAUGAAGCCUAAAUGUUUAAGGCCAAAGUCACUGGAGUGUAACAGGCUAUGAAAAGAUGUUUAAAUCAGGCAUGAUUUUUAAAACAGAUUUGCUUCAUAACAAGUGAUGUAUUUGUUAUAAAAACGUUAUUUUUAACAUUGCAUACAUACAAAAACAUUUAAUUUGAUGCUUUAAUUGGGUAAACAUUUUUAAACAAUCUAAUGGCAACAGGACCCAAGAUUAAAAUGACAGUAGCAAAAUAAACUAAUGUUUCCACAUUUAGCUCGGAUAGCAAUAUUAAAAAAGUACAACUCACUUUGCAAUUUGCUUUAAUUACAGUUUUGUAACUCAGUUUUAUUAACAAGGCACAAAAUGAAACAAUUGGAUACAAUUUACAAUAAUAUACAGUAUAGUUAAGGCUGUCCACCAUAAAUUCAGUAGUCAAAAAGCAUCAACAUUGAAAAUGACAGCUUGAUCCAUGUAUGGAAACAAAGAAGUUGCACAUUCAGAACCGUCAUAUAUUUCCUAGAGUGGGAUAAAGGAUAGUGUUUUGGCUCCCCAAGACAAAACUCAGCUUUGUGUUACAUAACAUUUCUAAUAUUUUUGUUUAAUUACGAUGCAGGAUAACUGAAAUGAGAGAAUUUUUAAAACAAUUCUAAGACAAUGAUACAUUUCACAAAAAAAAGGUGGAGUGUUUACUCUUAAAAGUCCUCCAUUUCUAAACAAAACAUUCUCAGUUCUCUGAUCUACAUCCAGGUCAUGCUUGACACAAACUCAAAGUCCAUUAGAGCUCAAUGAUUUUUUUUUGUUAGAAGGAAGACAAAACAGGGUCAGAUAAAUUGUAACAGAGAUAGUAGGAACUGCCGAUGCUGGAGAAUCUGAGAUUAACACGGUGUGAAGCUGGAUGAGCACAGCAGGCCAAGCAGCAUCAGAAG